UACAGAGGGUGCGAGCGUUAAUCGGAAUUACUGGGCGUAAAGCGCGCGCAGGCGGUCUUCCAAGUCAGUGGUGAAAGCCCGGAGCUCAACUCCGGAACUGCCAUUGAAACUGUGAGACUUGAGGAUGAGAGAGGUGAGUGGAAUUCCCAGUGUAGAGGUGAAAUUCGUAGAUAUUGGGAAGAACACCGGUGGCGAAGGCGGCUCACUGGCUCAUUUCUGACGCUCAGGCGCGACAGCGUGGGGAUCAAACAGG
rnacentral:rRNA from 1 species